UACAAGUAAGGUGUUGUAUUUUUUUCCUUCAGUGAAAAAUCAUGCAGAAAAAGCUCAUGCUACAUCAGCAACCCCUGCUGCUUGUUCAGAAAGCGACACUGCUUCCCCACUGCCACAGGCAUGCCCUCCUUCCUCCAGCACAGUCGCUGUGUCACUUCAGCAUCCACCUGUAUCACUGGCUGUGCCUCGCCCAGCUGUAAUACCCGACAGCAUGGCUACACCACAAGUAUUUGCUGAAGUCGAGAGCCUUCUCCCUCUUUCUUUCAACAAGAGAAAGAAAAGGAGAAGCCUGCGAUUUAGGUGUGGGCAUCGGCAAGUUGGCAGUAAGGAUGAUUCCUUUUGACAGGAUCGCAGUUUUGGAGGGCUCGAUCACAACCAAAGAUGUUGCCAUUGGAAAGCUUCAUGAAUAAUACAACAGACCAAAUUAAAGAAAGUGCUACGGACUUUGACAUGGCUACUCAUGGACUGGGCUUUCAAAUGCUUGAUGUUUACAGUUCUGUACUUCAAAAAUGUGCCG